UUAACUCGAAUUUGUAUGCAGUUGGAACAGCGCCCCUAGCGGCAAACGUAGGCAAAUGUUCCAACUUCAUACAAAUUUGAUUUA
rnacentral:pre_miRNA from 1 species